rnacentral:rRNA from 3 species
UCGCCUGUUUUUACAAAAACAUCGCCUCUUGACACAAUAUAAGAGGCCCAGCCUGCCCGGUGACAAAGUUUAACGGCUACGGUACCCUGACCGUACAAAGGUAGCAUAAUCACUUGUUCCUUAAAUAGGGACCUGUAUCAACGGCAUCACGAGGGCUGCACUGUCUCCUCUCUUCAAUCAGUGAAACUGAUCCCCCCGUGAAGAAGCGGGGAUUGAGCCAUAAGACGAGAAGACCCCAUGGAGCUUUAAACACGUGCUCACACUAUACUUAUACGCCCCUUAACUAAAAGCCCUGAGUACAAGUUUUAGGUUGGGGAAACCGCGGAGAACAACUAAACCUCCACGACAAACGGCCCUAAGUCCUUAUCUACGAGCCACAGCUCUAAGAAUCAACAUACUGAUGUUUAUGACCCGAUAUUAUUCGAUUAACGAACCAAGUUACCCUGGGGAUAACAGCGCAAUCUACUUCAAGAGUCCAUAUCGACAAGUAGGUUUACGACCUCGAUGUUGGAUCAGGGUAUCCUUGUGGUGCAGCAGCUACUAACGGUUCGUUUGUUCAACGAUUAAAACCCUACGUGAUCUGAUUUCAGACCGGA